UACGAAGGGGGCUAGCGUUGCUCGGAAUCACUGGGCGUAAAGGGUGCGUAGGCGGGUAUUCAAGUCAGAGGUGAAAGCCCGGGGCUCAACCCCGGAACUGCCUUGAAACUAGAUAGCUAGAAUCUUGGAGAGGUCAGUGGAAUUCCGAGUGUAGAGGUGAAAUUCGUAGAUAUUCGGAAGAACACCAGUGGCGAAGGCGACUGACUGGACAAGUAUUGACGCUGAGGCACGAAAGCGUGGGAGCAAACAGG
rnacentral:rRNA from 1 species